AUUGAACGCUGGCGGCAGGCCUAACACAUGCAAGUCGAGCGAGCGGCGGACGGGUGCGUAAUGUCUGGGAAACUGCCUGAUGGAGGGGGAUAACUACUGGAAACGGUAGCUAAUACCGCAUACCAUCAGAUGUGCCCAGAUGGGAUUAGCUAGUGGGUGGGGGAACGGCCCACCUAGGCGACGAACCCUAGCUGGUCUGAGAGGAUGACCAGCCACACUGGAACGAGGACACGGUCCAGACUCCUACGGGAGGAAGCAGUGGGGAAUAUUGCACAAUGGGCGCAAGCCUGAUGCAGCCAGGCGGCGUGUGUGAAGAAGGCCUUCGGGUUGUAAAGCACUUUCAGCGGGGAGGCGUUAACCGCAGAAGAAGCACCGGCUAACUCCGUGCCAGCAGCCGCGGUAAUUC
rnacentral:rRNA from 1 species